UGGUCAGGGCAAUCUUGACUCAGUCUAUCAAUUCAAAUGCUAAUCUCUCUGGAAACAGCCUCACAGACACACCCAAAAUAAUGUUUAGCUAAACAUCUGGGCAUCCUGUGAUCCAGUUAAGUUAAUGCAUAAAAUUAACCAUCACACCCCUGUAUAGUCAGAAGGAACACUACAGAUCUGUUUUUAUAGGUUGGCUCUUAUAGAACUUACUAUUUAAACUUCACCUCCUCGAUCUUGUAGGUUUAAGUUUGCACUUAUCAUUCAUUUCACUGGCAAACCAAUGAGAACGUGUUUUAUUUUCUUACCUUGGGAUUCCCUUGAUUUACAACCUUUCAUCUCCAGAGUCAUUAAAACAGAAAA
rnacentral:lncRNA from 10 species